CCUUUUUCACUUAGAUGACAGAUCAUGGCGCGCGCGCGGCUGUUCUCAUACGUUAAAUUAAUCACAUCCAUAUUAAUUAAUUAUUCCCUUAUGUUUAACUUUAAACCAACAGUACUAUCACUGCAAAUUAAAAGCUUGACCCUCUAAAGUACAGCAGAUGUAUGUAUGUAUGUAGAAAUUAAACAUCCAACUCCUCCUUGCCAUAACGCUGGAAAAACAAAAAGAAGCAAUACAACCAACGUACAAUAAUUGGAUUAUCUUAAACUAAAUUAAAGAUGAUUCAUACAGCGAUGAAAUCACAAUUUGCAGAUCAAUAUAUAUAUAUAUAUAUAUAUAUAUAUAUACAUACAUACAUAUAAGAUGAAUAUAUAUCCAUUAAAAGCUGCUAGCAGUGGUGCAUGAACUGGAAAAUUCAGAUCAUUGCCUAAUUAAUUAAUUAAUCAUAUAUCAUCUGUGAAUCUGGCCAACCGAAGUAAUAUUGCCACCAGUUUAAUGAACUGAAUAUAUGUAAUCAUGCACACAAGCAACUAAAAAUGAAACUUGGGUUAAAUUAAUAACAAUAAUAGUAUUUAAAUGGAUCAAUACUUCUAGUCUUGUUCUGGUCAUAAGUUUGGACCAACCAUAAUCCAUAUACAAAACAACAACAAUAAUAAUUAUAAUAAAUUAUGUUUGUUAUAUAUACCAUCCAAGGAGUAGCUACUAGCGGGGCAAAGAAAACACUAGGAUCUGAAUCUAGGCAUGUCAGCCUAAGUAAGAGAAAACGUGCAAUGUUUUGUCUUUUUUACCUAAGUAUGUAGAGAAAAAUAAGAAAACCCCUUAUAUAUUGUCUCCUGUAAUUAUAUUAAUAUAUAAAGCAAGCUAGUUUUUAUUUUUUAUCUAUAUAUUUGUAUACUCUAAUUAUCUAUAACAUACACGUUUCACCUAAUUUAUGUUGAAUAAGGCUGGCUUUAAGACUUGUAUAAUUAACCGCGCGAGCUGAUGAAAAGAGCAAUGCCAACGUUGUGGUCCAUGAGUCCCAUCUACUUUAUCUUAUUCUCACAAAAUAAAAUAAAUUAUGUAGGAAAUGCUGGAAUAAAAAUGAACAUGUGUAUAUACUCU
rnacentral:lncRNA from 1 species